AUACUUACCUGGCAAGGGAGUACCGUGUGAUCAAGAGGCUGUUCACCCAGGGCCGAGGCCUCAGCCAUGCACUGUGGCUGUGCUGACCCUGCAAUUCCAAAUGCGAAAUGCUCGAUUGCAAUUAUGGUAGUGUUGUGGGGACUGGCGUUAGCGCUCUCCCCUG